UUUUUGGAAAUAAUUUAAAGUCUAAUCUGCCCACUGAUAAAUAUAUUAAAGGGCUGCAGUAUUUUGACUGUACAAAGGUAGCAUAAUCAUUAGUCUCUUAAUUGGUGACUUGUAUGAAAGAUUGGAUGAAAAAUAAACUGUCUCUAAUUAAUUUAUAAAAUUUAAUUUUUUAGUAAAAAAGCUAAAAUAAUUUUAAAAGACGAGAAGACCCUAUAGAGUUUUAUAAUUUAUUUGAUUAUUAUUAAUAUGUAAAUUUUAAAAUUAAAAUUAAAUAAAUUAUUUUGUUGGGGUGACAGAAAAAUUAAAUUAACUUUUUUAAAUAAUUAACAUUAAUUUAUGAAUAAAUGAUCCAUUAAUAUUGAUUAAAAGAAAAAAUUACCUUAGGGAUAACAGCGUAAUUUUUUUUUUUAGUUCAAAUAGGAAAAAAAGUUUGCGACCUCGAUGUUGGAUUAAGAUAAAAUUUAAAUG
rnacentral:rRNA from 1 species